CCUACGGGAGGCAGCCGUGAGGAAUAUUGGUCAAUGGGCGCGAGCCUGAACCAGCCAAGUAGCGUGAAGGAUGACUGCCCUACGGGUUGUAAACUUCUUUUAUAAAGGAAUAAAGGGAGUCACGUGUGCCUUUUUGUAUGUACUUUAUGAAUAAGGAUCGGCCAACUCCGUGCCAGCAGCCGCGGUAAUACGGAGGUUCCGAGUGAAUACCGGAUUUAUUGGGUUUAAAGGGAACGUAGAUGGGUUGUUAAGUCAGUUGGUAAAGGUUGUGGCUAAACCGUAAAAUUGCAAUUGAUACUGGCAGUAUUGAGUACAGUUGAGGUAGGCGGAAUUCGUGGUGUAGCGGUGAAAUGCUU
rnacentral:rRNA from 1 species